UACGGAGGGUGCAAGCGUUAUCCGGAUUUACUGGGUUUAAAGGGUGUGUAGGCGGGUCUUUAAGUCCGUGGUGAAAUCUCCGAGCUCAACUUGGAAACUGCCAUUGAUACUAUUGAUCUUGAAUUUUGUUGAGGUAGGCGGAAUAAGUCAUGUAGCGGUGAAAUGCAUAGAUAUGACUUAGAACACCAAUUGCGAAGGCAGCUUGCUAAACAAAUAUUGACGCUGAGGCACGAAAGCGUGGGGAUCAAACAGG
rnacentral:rRNA from 1 species